rnacentral:tRNA from 1 species
GCGGGUGUAGUUCAAUGGUAGAACUUCAGCCUUCCAAGCUGAUAACGUGGGUUCGAUUCCCAUCACCCGCUCCA